AUUUUACCGUUAUGUUCUAUAAGUAAAAGUAAAAACAAUGUGUUUUAUAACCAUGGGCUUUUAAAUGAUUUAUUAACAAUUUAUAACAAAAAUAAGAAAUAAAAGAGGGCUGCUUUCUUGUUUGAUACUAUAUAUGAAUAAAUUGUCAGUUUAAAUUAUAAUUCCAUUUAAAAAUUUUACCCGUUAUUAUGAAUGCAGGACUGAGAUACUAUAAUUAAACAAUGAACAUGUGAGUGCAUCAUACAGGAUAUGAAAAAAAAACAAGAUUUCGAGUAAGUUCUUUAUAGAAUAUUUUUUAUUUGCUCGGUUCCUGUUUUAUACAAAACAUCUAACAAGCACAGAUGCUUGUCACUGAAGUGCUUUUAAAGUCUGUCUUUUACGGAAGCAACUAAUCUAUCGACUGCAUUUAUCGAACGAAUCAUUUGUCACUUUUCUCGUUGGAUAUGCUAAAAAGAUAACUCGCGCUUGUGAUCAUAUUUGUGUGUAUAAAUAUGUGUUUUAGCAUAUGAACGCGAGUGUGUUGUAUGCAUGUAUGUUUGUAAAGGAGUGUGAAUAUGUUUGUAUGUUAGUAUGUGUGUUGUCUGUGAUGUAAGUGUGAAUGUGCUUGUAUAUAUGUAUUUAAAUGACGCAUUUCAUCAUUCGUAAUCGUCGAUCUUAAAAGUUCGUAAUAAAACGUGGAAUUAGAUACUUUAACACUAUGCAAAAUAAAAAAUAUUUUUAAUCAGAGGACAAGAGGGCUGCCAGGGGAGGAAUGGCGAGAGGGGAGAAGGUGCGUGCUAGGCCAUAUAUAAUUAAUUUCAUAAGUUCGUGGUUUCAUAUUUUUUCGUCGCGCAAUUCGAUUAUAUACAAAUAGAAUCGACCCUGAAAUUCGUCGCGUUAAAACUCGAUGUAUUCAAAAUAAUAUUAUAAACUUUAUUAAAGAAGAAAUUGUUAACAUCAACGUUAAUGAAAAUAGAAGCAUUUCUCGAUUUUUCCGCGCGAUUCGUGCGGAACAUUAUGCGAACCAUAGAGAAACGCGCGAAAUUGUUUUUUGGAAAAUUCGAGGAAAACCGAAAUAGACGCUCGCGUACUAAGUACGGUGCGACCUGUAGCACGUUUACCUUCUUUUUGUUUUCCCUUAACCUCUCAUGCGUGUGUGUAUUAUACGAUAUAGCUUUCUGUUAAAAAUUUACUUAGCGAACGCUCGUUGAACGGUUUUCCGGUCAACGUCUAGUUAACAGUAAGUAACAACUUAUAUUUCGGCAACAAUAACAAUUUCACCUUCGGUGAUCUUCCAAUUGGAAUUUCGCUACCAACGUGUCAGCUAUCUGGCAUGUACUUUACAAAUAUCUAAAUGUAUUGUAUAUAUAUAUACAUAUAUAUAUAUAUAUAUAUAUAUAUAUAUAUAUAUAUAUAUAUUAGCUUAUCUUAAACAUUCCACAAUUUUGUGGGGGUAACGGCUUCUUUGUAACGCAUUACGCUUGAUUGGCGUUACUUUAACUCUUUUAGGCAUUAUAUAUUUGUUUUUCUUAUUUUUCUUUCUUAGCAGGUCAAUUUUAAAUAAAAGGAAAAAUUUUGUAUCUUGGAAAGAAAUAGAGGAUAAACGCGUUAACGUAGAUAAAUCGACGUUACAAAGAAGUCAAUAGUUUAUUAAUCGCUCGUAAACUUACAGCAAAAUGACGGCACUAGCAGGACGUUUACAGCUCAACAAGAUAUUUCUCUAUAUUAACUUUGCAAAGAUACUAUGAUCUAUGUUAAAACGUGACUCUCUAGGAAUGGUAUGUGGUGUAGGAUUUGUUUUCUAUGGACGUCUCUAUACUGAAACGAUGUUCCU